UACGUAGGGUGCAAGCGUUUGUCCGGAAUUAUUGGGCGUAAAGAGCUUGUAGGCGGUUUGUCGCGUCUGCUGUGAAAUUUCGGGGCUCAACCCCGAACUUGCAGUGGGUACGGGCAGACUAGAGUGUGGUAGGGGAGACUGGAAUUCCUGGUGUAGCGGUGAAAUGCGCAGAUAUCAGGAGGAACACCGAUGGCGAAGGCAGGUCUCUGGGCCAUAACUGACGCUGAGAAGCGAAAGCAUGGGGGAGCGAAACAGG
rnacentral:rRNA from 1 species